rnacentral:rRNA from 1 species
ACAGACACCAAUAGAUUUGUGGUCA